UCCUCUUUAACUCCAUCCAUGAAAUCUAUACUAAAUUUCUAGAGUUCCACUUGGGCUCACCCUAGUGUUUAUGUGUAGAAGUUGGGUAAGGAAAGGAGCAACUAGGAGAAUGUGUGUCCUAUCCCUAGUCUUUAUGCGCCGUCAAGGGACACUGCUCAGAAAUAUAAAUAUAGGAUUACAACUUCAACUUAUACAACUAGACUGUCACAACUCACACGUGAUCUCCGCCGUUGAUCUGGUCUCUCUAAUGAAUGAAAUUAAUUUUUUAUCCUGUCCAUGAAUUGCACUUUUGUUUCUGACCUAAGAUCCAUGGCAUGUGAUGAGAAUCAUAAGUCAUCAGACUCAGCCUUUGCUUUGCCUGGAAUUAAAUCACAUAAAGUAACUACUAAUUCUUACAGGUUGCUAUGGGUGCUGGCCCAGAUCAAAGUGGUCCCAGGGCAGUUUCUGUUAUUAAUUCUUCUUCAGAAAGACUAGGAGGGGCAAGAGUUGUAGCCACUGCUGUGGUUCCAGAUAAUGUGGCAAAAAUUCAGGACAUUCUAAGAAGAUGGAGUGAUAUUGCGCAAAUGGAUCUCAUAAUUACUCUUGGGGGAACUGGCUUUACCUCUCGAGAUUUAACGCCAGAAGCUACAAAACCAUAGAUUGAGAAAGAAACAACUGGCAUUCUGCAUGUAAUGAUGCAAGAGAGUUUAAAGAUCAUUAACAUGCCUGGAAACUGUUGCUGAGUGUUGGAAGCUUUAUUGCCAGCACUUAAGCAUGGUGCUCAGGGGAGACAAGAGAGAAAAACAUCCUCGUCACGUUCCUCAUGCCGAAGCAGUUCCUGCAGAUGUGUGGGAACAGAGUAAUAUGCUAGCCACUGGUGCUGGCUCUGAUAUCUCUUGUUCCUGUUGCAAGUGAAGUUAAUUAGUAUAUUUUCUUUUCGGCUUCAGCCUUCAACAUUUUGCCCCCAUGUUCAAAUUCGAGGGAUACGGAAUAGUGCAGUUAUCAUUCAAUGCACGAAAAGUUUUUCUUUAUAUUUUAUCAUAAAACUAAAAUUGUGAAGUGUGAGAAUCCUAAUUAACUGUAAGAUGAUUGCACAAGACAAAUU